GACGAACGCUGGCGGCGUGCUUAACACAUGCAAGUCGAGCGGAAAGGCCCUUCGGGGUACUCGAGCGGCGAACGGGUGAGUAACACGUGAGUAAUCUGCCCUUGGCUUUGGGAUAACUACCGGAAACGGUGGCUAAUACCGGAUACGACAACCGUCUGCAUGGGCUGGUUGUGGAAAGUUUUUUCGGCCAGGGAUGUGCUCGCGGCCUAUCAGCUUGUUGGUGGGGUAAUGGCCUACCAAGGCUUCGACGGGUAGCCGGCCUGAGAGGGUGACCGGCCACACGGGGACUGAGACACGGCCCAGACUCCUACGGGAGGCAGCAGUGGGGAAUAUUGGACAAUGGGCGGAAGCCUGAUCCAGCAACGCCGCGUGAGGGAUGACGGCCUUCGGGUUGUAAACCUCUUUCAGUACCGACGAAGCGCCGAUGAUGGUGGUGACGGUAGGUACAGAAGAAGCACCGGCCAACUACGUG
rnacentral:rRNA from 1 species